GAUCAUGGCUCAGGAUGAACGCUAGCGACAGGCUUAACACAUGCAAGUCGAGGGGCAUCAUGAGGUAGCAAUACCUUGAUGGCGACCGGCGCACGGGUGAGUAACGCGUAUGCAACCUGCCUGAUACCGGGGUAUAGCCCAUGGAAACGUGGAUUAACACCCCAUAGUACUUUUAUCCUGCCUGGGAUGGGAGUUAAAUGUUCAAGGUAUCGGAUGGGCAUGCGCCCUAUUAG
rnacentral:rRNA from 1 species